AUGCAAAUUGUGUCACCCGCUAUUCUCGCUCUCUUCUCCAAUGAAGCAACCUUGCGCCACCAUUUCUGCAUCUCACUUCGCUGCUGUCUCACUCAAAUGUUGCUUCAAAUAACCUUCCUUAUUAUCGACUCAUAUCGCUGUGCUCAUGUUCAUCUCGCGUUGAUAUCUCAUUGCGCCUUGCUUUCGUUUCAAAUCGUCCUCAAACCAACAGAUUCACAGAUUCUACAUUGUGAUAGCAAGAAUGAAAAGAGUUAA